GAUUAACGCUGGCGGGAUGCAUAACACAUGCAAGUCGACUGCAUUUAGUUGCAGGGCGGACGGCUGAGUAACACGUUGGUCACCUGCCCCGAACUCAGGGAUAACCCGAGGAAACUCGGAAUAAUACCGGAUAUCCCAGCAAUGGGAAAGCUUCGGCGGUUCGGGAGGGGCCUGCGGCCUAUCAGCUUGUUGGUAAGGUAACGGCUUACCAAGGCUAUGACGGGUACCUGGUGUGAGAGCACGACCAGGCAGAAUGGGACUGAGACACGGCCCAUACUCCUACGGGAGGCAGCAGUGAGGAAUUUUCCGCAAUGGGCGAAAGCCUGACGGAGCAAUCCCGCGUGGAGGAUGACACCUUUCGAGGCGUAAACUCCUUUUCUGAGGGAAGAAAUUUUGACGGUACCUCAGGAAUAAGCACCGGCUAACUACG
rnacentral:rRNA from 1 species